UCAAUCCUAUCCACAUUUUUGAUUUUUCACUUCCCUCGCUCUCUCUGUCCUCCUUCCCUUCCGCUUCCACUUCACGCGCCACCGUCCUCAUCCUCCACUCUCCACCACCCAAGUUGAAGCCGUUUCUCUCUACGAAGGUACUGUAUGGCACGAGCGUCGCAACCCCAUUAGCCAUUCUUUCCGGUACUCGUACGCUACGCUCUUUUCAACCUCGAUCACGCUCCUAACACUCCUCCCGACCACCUCUCCGCCGACGAGGCUCGUAGGUUUUCCAAAACUGAUGGCCCUGUGUAAGUUCCUGAAUUUUCUUAUCCCCUCUUUUGUCAAUACUUUUUUUUAGUUCAUCUCAAAUAUUUGGUAUUUUGAUGAAAUUACGGUGACAGUUUUCUGUUAACAAUUCCUCCAAGCGUGGGGUACGAACAGAAUCCAUUGAGCAUAUAUUAUUGCUAUGGUAUGGAGGGAAACACUAAGCUUCUGAAGAAAGUGCAUUGCUGAGGUGACUAAUACCCCCUGGGUGAAAGAGUAUUAUUUGUAUUCGACCCAGAUUCUGAUUUAGUGGCAAAACCAUUGCAUGUCAGUCCUUUCAUGCAUAUGCUCGGGAAUUGGAGCCUUAGAUCAAAUGCUCCUGAUCAAAAUUUACCAGUUACAAUAUCUGUCCAACACCCUGAGCUUGGUGAUUAUUUUCUGGCCACCUUGAAAGCGAAAAGAAUCUCUCCGGAAUCAGUGCAUGAUCAUGCACUGUUUUUCUGGUUGAUGCCUCAUAAGGUUGCCCUGUGGAUAUACGGCAUGUAAGUCGAACUAAAAAGUGUUCAACUUUGGUAUGGGUUGGACUCUUGAGCUAACUAUGAACUCCAUCAGUUCUCUACUGCUUUGGCC